AUCCUGUUGACGAGUCCCAAAUAGGACGAAAUGGGUAUUCUCGUUGGAU
rnacentral:hammerhead_ribozyme from 1 species